GACGAACGCUGGCGGCGUGCUUAACACAUGCAAGUCGAACGGUAAGGCCCUUCGGGGUACACGAGUGGCGAACGGGUGAGUAACACGUGGGUGAUCUGCCCUGCACUUCGGGAUAAGCCUGGGAAACUGGGUCUAAUACCGGAUAGGACCACUGCCUGCAUGGGUGGUGGUGGAAAGCUUUUGCGGUGUGGGAUGGGGCCGCGGCUUAUCAGCUUGCUGGUGGAGUGAUGGCCUACCAAGGCGCAGACGGGUAGCCGGCCUGGGAGGGGGACCGGCCACACUGGAGUUGGAUACGGCUCAGACUCCUACGGGAGGCAGCAGUGGGGAAUGUUGCACAAUGGGCGCAAGCCUGAUGCAGCGACGCCGCGUGAGGGAUGACGGCCUUCGGGUUGUAAGCCUCUUUCAGCUAUGACGAAGCGCAAGGGACGGUAGUAGCAGAAGAAGGACCGGCCAACUACGUGCCAGCAGCCGCCGUAA
rnacentral:rRNA from 1 species